AAUUAAAGCAGACAGAAGACGUUCUGAAAGAAAAUCAUUGUGCAGUCAUCAAGCCCAUUCCACAUUAAAAUGAUCACUGAUACAUUGUUAAUCAAUACUCUGAUAAAGUGAUUGAUCCAUUGAGAAACAGCAUCAUCAGAGUAAUCCAAGUCCCUGUUGGAGUCAGUCAGAGCAUUUCCAUAGAGAGCCACUUUGCAUCAGCAGCACCAUGCUCCAGUGCUCUGGGAGAGUUUAUAGUCCUGAGAGUUGAACACUGGAUGACUGACAGCUGUCCUUCAUGACAACAGAAGACACAGAAAUCCUCCUCAUCAAAAACAUGACUUUGAUCUCCGUCCUCAUCUGGACUCUCCUCUGCUGCUGCUUCACAGAGUCCAGAGGCCAGGUCACAGUGACUCAGCCUGGAGCAGUGAGCUCUGCUGUGGAAGGCUCCGUCUCCAUCAGCUGUAGGAGCAGUCAGAGGGUUGAUGAAGAUUGUGGAAGCAGUGCUAGUGACCCCUGUUUAUCCUGGUACCAAAAGAAAAAUGGACAAACUCCAAAAUUACUUCUUUACUUAGCAAAUCAGCGAGAAUCAGGGAUUCCAACUCGUUUUUCAGGCAGUGGAUCAGGGACAGACUUCACUCUGACCAUCAGUGGAGUCCAGGCUGAAGAUACAGCAGUUUACUACUGUAUGGGUGGAACCACUGUCAACAGUCAGUAUGUGUUCACACAGUGAAAAAGCGUCGUACAAAAACCUCCCUCAGUCAGACUGAACAGAAACUGAACUGACUGCUGCAGCUGGAAGCUACUGCAGAGACUGAUACAGUUCACUGAGGACACACACACACACACACACACACACACACACACACACACACACACACACACACACACACACA